rnacentral:rRNA from 1 species
CGGAUUAGCGGCGGACGGGUGAGUAACACGUGAGUAACCUGCCUUAGACAUUGGGAUAGCCUCGGGAAACCGGGAUUAAUACCAAAUAAAAUCAUAAUGACACAUGUCAUAACGAUCAAAACUCCGGUGGUCUAAGAUGGGCUCGCGUCCCAUUAGCUAGUUGGUAGAGUAAAAGCCUACCAAGGCGACGAUGGGUAGCCGGCCUGAGAGGGCGAACGGCCACAUUGGAACUGAGAAACGGUCCAA